CGUGGGUAACCUGCCCAAGAGAUCGGGAUAACACCUGGAAACAGAUGCUAAUACCGGAUAACAACAGAUGAUGCCUAUCAACUGUUUAAAAGAUGGUUCUGCUAUCACUCUUGGAUGGACCUGCGGUGCAUUAGCUAGUUGGUAGGGUAACGGCCUACCAAGGCGAUGAUGCAUAGCCGAGUUGGGAGACUGAUCGGCCACAUUGGGACUGAGACACGGCCCAAACUCCUACGGGAGGCAGCAGCG
rnacentral:rRNA from 1 species